rnacentral:rRNA from 1 species
GACGUAGGGUGCAAGCGUUAUCCGGAAUCACUGGGCGUAAAGCGUGCGUAGGUGGCGCGUUAAGUGAGAUGUUAAAUCGUGUGGCUCAACCAUAUCGAUGCAUCUCAUACUGGCGUGCUAGAGGACGGCAGAGGCAAGUGGAAUUGGUAGUGUAGCAGUGAAAUGCGUAGAUAUUACCAGGAACACCAAUGGCGAAGGCAGCUUGCUGGGCCACUCCUGACACUGAUGCACGAAAGCUAGGGGAGCAAACAGG